AAAAAGGAACUAACUUUUAUUUUUGAACCUUUAAAAUCGCUCCAGUUUGGAAUAUGUGAUGUAAUUAAUAUACAAGCCCGGAAAUAAGAAUAACACUGUUGCUGCGAUUUCUAAAAGUCUGAUGAGCGGUGUGUUUGUAUGAAUUACGAGGUUUUUAUGUACGUCAUCAGAAUGUGGAGUAAUAUUAUAACACUGAUUCUCAUUUAUCUUAGCACAGUCAAAGGUCAGUCAAAAGAUGAAUUUGCGUUUGGUCGAACCUUUUAUUUAAACCCAGUUUUGUUGCCGUGGGACGAAGCUUUACGUGGGUGCCAUGAACUAAAUGCUACCCUAGCAACAAUGUACAGUUUAUCUACCAUUGGUGAUUUAGAGUUUACUGGGGACUGGACAUUCUGGACUGGUCUACACCAAGACACAAAAGAUAACUGGACCUGGUCGAAUGGGAACGAAAAAGACUGGACAAAUUGGAAUUUUGGACUGGAGACAGUCGACGAACCUGUUCGCUCCUGUGUAGCUACCGUCACCAAGAUACGCAACUGGUGGUUGCCU